UUGAACCAUUUUUUCUUACAGAUUGGUGACGCUGACUGAUAUAUGUGAGAAAAGUGAACAUAUGGUACAGUACUGUGAUAAAUAUUUGACAGGAAGAAAAGG
rnacentral:pre_miRNA from 1 species